rnacentral:rRNA from 1 species
GUAGGUGGCAAGCGUUGUCCGGAAUUAUUGGGCGUAAAGCGCGCGCAGGCGGUUCUUUAAGUCUGAUGUGAAAGCCCACGGCUCAACCGUGGAGGGUCAUUGGAAACUGGAGAACUUGAGUACAGAAGAGGAAGGCGGAAUUCCACGUGUAGCGGUGAAAUGCGUAGAGAUGUGGAGGAACACCAGUGGCGAAGGCGGCUUUCUGGUCUGUAACUGACGCUGAGGCGCGAAAGCGUGGGGAGCAAACAGGGAUUAGAUACCCUGGUAGUCCACGCCGUAAACGAUGAGUGCUAAGUGUUAGGGGGUUUCCCGCCCCCCUUAGUGCUGCAGCUAACGCAUUAAGCACUCCGCCUGGGGAGUACGGCCGCAAGGCUG